rnacentral:rRNA from 1 species
AUGGCCAAAUGCUGCCUGCUGCUGCUCCUCUUCUUGGGGUUUCUCUUGCCCGAGGCGCACGCAGCUUUGUGCCACCCCGACGACCUUCGCGCAUUGCAAGACUCUGUUGGGAACCUCCGCGCCGGGGGUGUCCUCAUCCAUGCCAUGUGGUUCGGCGGCACGUGCUGCAGCUGGGAAGGCGUGGGCUGUGACGCCGCUAGCGAAAAACAAACGGGGCCCAUACCAGGAACCUCCCUUGUAGGCCUUGCGCGGCUCGAGGAGCUCGACCUCGGCUCCAACGGCUUUCACAACAUCUCAGGGGUGCUCACAAUAUUGCGUGGGUGCCAGAACCUCACCAUGCUGAUUCUCACCAAGAAUUUUGGUGGUGAGGAGCUACCCGACGGUGGGGCAGGGUUCCGGAAUGGUUGUCUCAAUGCAAGAAAAUGGAGGUGCUUGAUUUGUCCGGCAACCAAUUGGUGGGCACCAUCCCAUCGUGGAUUGGUGAGCUUCACCACCUUUGCUACUUGGAUCUCUCAAACAAUUUCAUUGGUUGGCGACGCACCUAAGAGUUUGGCACCACUAAAGGGGUUUGCCACCGGCGGGUGUUCACUGGGCAUGGUUUUCAGUAACAUGCCAUCAUAUGUGAAGCAUAACAGAAGCACACUUGGACGGCGACUUAGCGAGCUCCCAAAUGUCAUAACAGGGACCAAUAACUUUGUGACAUUAGGGAGCAACAAUGUUGUAUCCGGGAAUGCCAACGAUGUCAUAUAUGGGGAUGAAAACACCGUAUCUGGGAACAACCAUGCCGUAUAUGGGAAUGAAAACAUUGUAUCAGGGAACAACCAUGUGGUAUCUGGGAGCAAGCAUGUGGUAUCUGGUAGCAGGCAUGGUGUAACUGGGAGAGGCAGUGUGGUAUCCGGCCGGGUUCAAGAAUGGCGUAUCUGGAAUCAACCAUGUCGUAUCUGGUAG